GGGGUGCGCGUGCGCACUGCGGGCGCGCCUGGCGGCCGUUGGGCCUCGCGCGGCGACCGUUGGCCGCUUCCCGCCUCGGGGCAACGGCUCCGCCUCAGGACCCCCGGGGAGCGGGCGCCGUGAGGGGAGCCGCGGGGGUGGCGGCUGUGAGGGGAAAGCUGCCUGGCCUGAGCAGUAAUUAGACGGAGCGCUGAGUGCGGUGGCUCGCCCUGCUGGUCAGGGGCGACCUUAUCGCUCUCUACAGCAAUCCUCUAUACGUGAGCAGAGGACGUUUUGCUGAAGACCGGCUUGCGGGCACCGGCUGGCAGAAGCAAUGCCUGCGAUGCAAGGACUCCGUGCAGCGUGCCGCGCGGCAGUGACAGCAGCAUGAGCUCAGCAGGCAGGUUCGUACCGCACGGUGUAGCCCUGCCUGGAGUGACCAGCCCUCGGCGAGGCGCGGUGCUUUGAGCGCCUCUGCUCGGGUGCAGGUUUACCCCGAGGACUUUGUCUCUCUCCUCCCCCACGUUCGCAGUGUGCAAUGCAGCGUGCGUGUCAUGGUGUACAGAGGUGCUUGAACUCCUCUUGUCUCCGUGCUGGGGCUCUGAUGCUGCUCCCUGUGUAUCGUGGUGUAUUUUAUAAAGCCUGAGGAUCAAAAUACUACUGCAUGUAGGGGAGGUGCCACAGUGGUCUCUGCUCAUGUGGAGAAACUGCAGGAAUGGGAAGGCAAAGCAGGUUGUGGGUGAUGAUUGCGAAACAUGGGCAAGAGUUAGGAGCAGACUUCCUUCCAGUCAUCCAGUGUUUUGUCUUAUACCACCUUCUUUGUACCGAAUUAUCUCCAUCCUAUGAAAUGAAGGUGAUAGUUCUGCAAACUGCUUUGGCAUUUGCAGAUCACAAGCAGAAUGCUUGGUAACACUUGGGCAGGCUAAGGAAAUGGGAGAAACUGCCCUUAGAAAAAGUGCAGCUGCUGCGCAGGGCAGCUUGGAGAAGGAAUCAGGCAGAGUCCUCGCCACAGUAUGGGCCCUGGUUCUCCUUAGGAGCUUAACCUUCACGUCAGCAUUGUGCUGCUAUGAGUUUGCUGUAAUUUAAGACCUUUACAGCUGGAAGGGGGUUGUGUUAUGUCCAUUUCUCCACCAGUAAUUGCCAUCUGAAAGCAUUCUGGGGUGGCAACACUGUGUGGUGUGGAAGUGUUAAAUUUUACACAGUGCCAGCUUGAAGUCACCAUAAAAUAAUCUUUGAAACAUAGAAUCAAUAAUAAUAAUACUUAUGCUAAGAUGUAAACACGAGGAUCAUAGGCUAGAGUACCAAAUCCUGGCUGGUGCGGUAUGUCCCUACUUAGUACCAUGUGUGAAAUGAAGCGUGGGCUAGCCCAAAUAGCCCAAAUCUCGGAGAAACUGCUCUCUUGUAUGACAAGGAUGAGGGAACGUCAUGCUUCACUGACAUCAACACAUAACUAUUCCUAGACACACCCAGUUAACAGCAACCCAAGGAUCGGUGCCAUCGCACCUUUUGUACAACUGUUCCUGUGUAUUUUCUAUCAUCAUCGCUCUUCUUGAUGGAUUCACAAAAUGCAAUGGUCUUCCGUGGGCUGGGAAUUUCAUAAUCAGCUGAAAGUUAAAAAUAAAAUGGAUCACUACUACAAAUAGGAAAAGUGCUGAACCAAGAACUAUCUUCAGUUCUACUGGUGAGACCUCAUCAACUUCAGCAGGACCUGACUGUGAAGCAGAAAGCAAAUCUGGUAUACUUGGACUUUUUGUUUUUUAAAAUUUCUGUGUGAGUACAAACUUUCACCCUGACCUAAGCAGAGUGCAAGUCAAAAUCCAUGGAUCAGAUUUCCAAGAGUUCCAUAACUAACAGUGAUUGAGGAUCUUAAAAAAAAAACCACACAACAACAACAACCAAGGAACCCGACCACUACAACUGAGUUUAGAGGUUAUCCCCAGAGGACAGACGCUGAGCGUGAGUUAUGUUUCUUCACAAAAGGCACAGUUGGUGCACCAAGUUCUGUUCUCAGACUUCAGGGGCAACUUGUGUGCUGAGAAAAGGAGCUUCCCCAGGAUGACAGCUGUAAUAUUUUGACUGGACAGCGGGAGGAGGAGGGAAGGAAUAACAUAGCCAAGGCAAGAAACAAGGGCACGGGUGCUUUGCAGCCCCUAGACGCUGCAGUAGUUUUUUAAUCUCAGAUCCCAAGUCUUCAGGGAAGUGAGGAUGACAGACCUACUGCUGUACUCCCAAUCUCAUCCUUUUGGGGCAGUGCAGGGAAGCAGCCCAUAGGGAGUCUCAGCACAGAUUUGGGGUGUUCCUCCCCCUUGGCAGCUUCUCCAAACCUAACGAGCCUUAAGAAACACGAGAACCACCCUGGCCACAACUCCUUCCCACGGCACACUUGUUUUCGAUAACAGGUACCUGCUUUGCUCUCCAUCCAGAAGGCAGUGAUACGCAGCAAUGUCUUUCUCCAGCUGUUGCUUGUUGGUCAGCAGAUUUUCACGAUCCCGCUGCUGCUGCUCAGUUUCUGCUUUGAUUUCUGCCAUCUCUGCCUCCAGCUUGGAAAUGACAGAGCCCAGGUUCUGCAGUUCGAUGUCAUGCCAGUGCUUGGCAUCGUACAAGGAGUUCUCCAGACCCCUCUUCUGUAAGGCCAAGAAGCAGACAUUAACACAGUCAGUUUUCAUAUGCUUCAGAGUAACAUUUAUUCAGGUUUGGCCAAUAUCUUCAUCGACUAUGCUUUAAUAUGAGAACUCCUUUCUCUAGACACUUUGAAAAAUGUGUAUUAUCAUUAUAAAGGUUGAACCAGUUUGGUUCCAGCCUCCUAGCAGGGUGGUUGAUGCCCCGCGCCUGUCAGUGUCCAAGAGGCAUUUGGACAAUGCCCCCAGUGUCGUGUUUUAACUUCUGGUUAGCCCUGAAGAAGUCAGGCAGUUGGACUUGAUCCUUGAAAGUCCCUUCCAGCUGAACUACUCUAUUCUAUGCUGUAGAAUAUAACCCACACAGCAAUCUCAGUGAAAUUUAUUAAUAAAGCACGUAUGAAGACAUUGAAGAUAAUUGAAAUUUGGGGCUCAGUCUUCAAAUGUGGUACGUUUGGUCUACUACGUCAAUCAAGGAGAGCUCAGAAAUGUCUGGCAUCUCUGGGAACAAUAUCCACUGGAAAAAAGCAAUUUAUUCUCAGCUCUGCACCCCAGGAUGGGCAUGCUCUCUUCAGAAGGCACAAUGAAUUCACACAGAAGAUACCCAUACAGAACCGAUGUUACUUACCAAGGUUCUCAAGGAUUCAGUUUCGGCCUGCAAGCUCUGUAUUUUGCAGGCAGUUUCGUGGAACUCGGUUCUGAGGCCCUCCACCAGUUCUUCCUCCUGGCUUCUCACUGCAGCUGUCGCUUCAGCCUGUUGCUGGUACAAGGUUAUGGCUGUCAUCACAGCGCACUCAAAUUAUGCUUUAGUUUCCUUACAUACCAAAAUGACGCUUAAUAUUUUCACAGUUUGUGGCAAUUCUGAUUUUGAGUUUGAUUGCUAUAUAUUAAAUUCUUUGGUUGAAUGGUUUGGGUACUUAUUAGCGUCAAAGUUGUCUGUUCUUCUAUGUGCCUACUGUAAAACGGCUUACACGUGUAAAUGUACAUAUUUUAUCUAUGUUGACAAAAGCUAUUCAGCAUUUCUACUAGUACUUUUAAGAUGGUCUGUAAAAGAAAGCAUUGCUGUAAUUCUGCUUUUCUUUGUAGCUAUGCCAUAACAUAUUUUAAAAGUUAAGUGUUUUCAUUUAGCCCAUUUGAUUUCAAGUAUUCACACCAUGCUUUUUCACAUGGGAUUCUAUGAAUGAGAGAAGAAGUCAUGUCACAUAAGGCAGAAAAAAUAAUUUAUGUUAAUUGAAUUAAUAUAUUCUAUGCAAUUUCA